rnacentral:tRNA from 3 species
GGAGAGGUGUCUGAGUGGUUGAAAGAGCCCGCUUGGAAAGCGUGUGAUCGUCGUAAGAUGGUCCGAGAGUUCGAAUCUCUCCCUCUCCGCCA